rnacentral:rRNA from 1 species
UGGAAGUAAAAGUCGUAACAAGGUCUCCGUUGGUGAACCAGCGGAGGGAUCAUUACCGAGUUUACAACUCCCAAACCCAAUGUGAACGUUACCAAACUGUUGCCUCGGCGGGAACUCAUGCCCCGGGUGCGUCGCAGCCCCGGACCAAGGCGCCCGCCGGAGGACCAACCAAAACUCUUUUUGUAUACCCCCUCGCGGGUUUUUUAUAAUCUGAGCCUUCUCGGCGCCUCUCGUAGGCGUUUCGAAAAUGAAUCAAAACUUUCAACAACGGAUCUCUUGGUUCUGGCAUCGAUGAAGAACGCAGCGAAAUGCGAUAAGUAAUGUGAAUUGCAGAAUUCAGUGAAUCAUCGAAUCUUUGAACGCACAUUGCGCCCGCCAGUAUUCUGGCGGGCAUGCCUGUCCGAGCGUCAUUUCAACCCUCGAACCCCUCCGGGGGGUCGGCGUUGGGGAUCGGCCCUCCUCUUGCGGGGGCCGUCUCCGAAAUACAGUGGCGGUCUCGCCGCAGCCUCUCCUGCGCAGUAGUUUGCACACUCGCAUCGGGAGCGCGGCGCGUCCACAGCCGUUAAACACCCAACUUCUGAAAUGUUGACCUCGGAUCAGGUAGGAAUACCCGCUGAACUUAAGCAUAUCAAUAAGCGGAGGA